UCCAAUGUGCAAUAGAAAACAAUGGUGGAAUCGUCUUCGCAACUACAUUAGAGGCCCAGAACCUUGAAGAAGAUCUCCAAACUCUUAAGCAUUAUCGCUCCAACAUCGAACGCUAAUCUAACUAGGGAAUUUUUUUUCUUUUAAGUCUCUCAAAAACUUUGCCCCUGCCCUCAAUCGAGUCUCUCACGGCCUAUACAGAGGAGUACCAGACGUUCCUCGUCGAUGGCUUAUGCCGAAUCCUCGAAGCCCUCGUAGACUUCAAUGGGUUUUCGAUGGAAUCCAUCAAUGGAAUCGUUUCUUUGACUAGUAGUGCGAACUCAGAAGAUGUACGGGGCGAGAAAGUUGAUGAAUUGCCUAACCCUGCCUGGGAGGUAUUGGGUGAGGUGUGGAUGUGAUGAGGUUAACCCCAAAAACUGCAUGAGCCUUGAAGGCCAAAGAAUGAAAGACACAAGAUAGGAGUGGUACUGCUGGCCGACCCACCAUGGUGCUAUCUUCUAUCUUAUUUCACUUUUAAUAUUCAAAGUACCACACGUUGUAUGCAUAUGUGGAUGCUAGAUCACUCUAUGAUGCAGAUUUAUCUAACAGCAUGCUUUGCAGAGAUGAGCAUAGAUAUUGUUAGGUAUUUAUCUACUGCAUAUUUGGGAAUGUGGGGCUCUUUGUCUGUUAAAAGAAGCUCAUGUGGUACUUUCAGAGGAUAGAAGGCAUUCAAGGAGAAUGCUGCAGCAUUACAACAUCAAGAAGGUUUAGAGGCUAACGAAGCACCAUCUCCUUUAUUUUUUUCCUCAUUUUAGUUUAAGCUUAUUGUACUUAGGCAUUUUGUUUGGUGUACUUAGUAGUGCAAUUUUAAUGUAAAAGAUAUUUGGCGGUAAUAAUAGAUUAUUUGUUGUA